UGGGGAAUAUUGCACAAUGGGCGAAAGCCUGAUGCAGCAACGCCGCGUGAGUGAUGAAGGCCUUCGGGUUGUAAAGCUCUGUCUUUUGGGACGAUAAUGACGGUACCAAAGGAGGAAGCCACGGCUAACUACGUGCCAGCAGCCGCGGUAAUACGUAGGUGGCAAGCGUUGUCCGGAUUUACUGGGCGUAAAGGAUGCGUAGGCGGAUUUUUAAGUGAGAUGUGAAAACCCUAAGCUUAACUUGGGGACUGCAUUUCAUACUGGAAAUCUAGAGUGCGGGAGAGGAGAAUGGAAUUCCUAGUGUAGCGGUGAAAUGCGUAGAGAUUAGGAAGAACACCAGUGGCGAAGGCGAUUCUCUGGACCGUAACUGACGCUGAGGCAUGAAAGCGUGGGUAGCAAACAGGAUUAGAUACCCUGGUAGUCCACGCCGUAAACGAUGAGUACUAGGUGUAGGAGGUAUCGACCCCUUCUGUGCCGCAGUUAACACAAUAAGUACU
rnacentral:rRNA from 1 species